CACUUUGCCCAAAUUUGCUCGAUUAGUCUAUUUAACAGCGAAUCUGACAAACCGGGCCCACAUGCAAGACAAUUUGUAUCCACUCCAUUUUUUCAACCAGCCCCUAUAUGUUUUAUUUUUUCCUUCUCUCCUCUUUUCUUCUUUCCCUUCUUUUUCUCCAUCUCCGGCUGGAGCAUCUCGCUGGAGCAGCACGCAACGGUGGGGAAUUAGGAAAAAGGAGAAGAUGCCGCAUGCCUCAAUCAAUCAUGCAUCCAUAUAUUCAUACAGGCAGGCAGAGCCAUGCGUCUCCGGUUAGGCCAGAGAUUCCGGACAUAGCUCGCGUGCCGGUCGGGGGCAGAGCAGGCCCCGCGGAGGCGGGGCGCUGCAGUCGGGCGGAGCAUGCAGGCGGCGUUGGCGGGGUCCCAAAACCGGGAGCAGAAGCGGAGGGCGUUGGCAGGGUCGCACAGGCCCGGCGGCGGCGGCCUGGGGUGCUUCCUCCGCCUGUCCGCGCCAUCUUCGCCCCAAUCUCCGAGAUCGGUCUUUCUCCGCCCCGAUCCCCAAUCCCGCGUGGUGUUCGAUCCGAAGGGAGGGGGCUACGGCUUCGCAGCAAAGAAUAACUCUAGCGGCGGCGGGGAUCGCCGACGUGCCGGCGAGGUACCUCAGGGAGAGGAGACCAGGGUGGGCGGCCGUAUACAUGGCAGCCAGAGCAGGUAAAGAAGAAGCUAUGGGGUUGGGGGAAAUAAAGAAGAAGCUCAGGGGGCUGGGAAAAAAAUAGAUUGUGUGACGUGGAUGUCAAUAAUAACCACGUAGGACCUUACAUGUGGGUCCGGUUUGUCAGAUUCGCUGUCAAAUAGACUAAUCAGUCAAAUUUGGGUAAAGUGAAAAUAACUACCCCUAUCAUAGUGGUCAGCUGAUGCGAACUCUUGGAGUGGUAGCUCCAUUAAACUCUAACCCCUAGAGUAGUGGUUUUGUGAAAUUUACUCUUAAUUCUUUCCUUUUUGUCUUAUACUUACAGG